rnacentral:rRNA from 1 species
GUAGGGUGCAAGCGUUAUCCGGAUUUAUUGGGCGUAAAGGGCUCGUAGGCGGUUCGUCGCGUCUGGUGUGAAAGUCCAUCGCUUAACGGUGGAUCUGCGCCGGGUACGGGCGGGCUGGAGUGCGGCAGGGGAGACUGGAAUUCCCGGUGUAACGGUGGAAUGUGUAGAUAUCGGGAAGAACACCAAUGGCGAAGGCAGGUCUCUGGGCCGUUACUGACGCUGAGGAGCGAAAGCGUGGGGAGCGAACAGGAUUAGAUACCCUGGUAGUCCACGCCGUAAACGGUGGAUGCUGGAUGUGGGGCCCUUUCCACGGGUUCCGUGUCGGAGCUAACGCGUUAAGCAUCCCGCCUGGGGAGUACGGCCGCAAGGCUA